GUGAAUCAUCAAAUUUUUGAACGCAAAUUGCACUCUCCUCGGAGAGUAUGCCUGUUUGAGGGUCAGCCUAUAAAAAAUCGACAUCGUUGCUGUUCCGCGGUGACGUUCGUCGGAAAUUGGGUUAUCUUAAACCUUUUUGUUUAAACGCGUUAAAAUUUUCCUUUUAAUUCCAUGAACAUGUCUAAG
rnacentral:misc_RNA from 1 species